rnacentral:misc_RNA from 1 species
UGUGGGAGCUGGCUUGCCUGCGAUAGCGGUGGUGAAUCUUGCAUCGCCAUCGCAGGCAAGCCAGCUCCCACA